AUAAACACAUCAUCUCGUUAGCGGAAAGGGAGGAGGAGGGGGAGGUUGGCUGUGGAGUGAGAAGACCAGAUUCCCACCAAGUGAGAGGCCCCAGGGAUCUGCAGCUGAAGACACCCUGACAGAAAGCAGAGGCCCCCAUAUCUCCCAGGAGGAAGGGUCAGGAGGACAUCUGCUUCAUGUCAGCUGGCAGUAUAGUACUUGUCUCAGGGGUUAUCGGGCUCCCUCUAUCAGGCUGUGGUUGGAACAUGGACCUCUCCUUCCUGAAGGAAACCCUCCGAACCAGCGUGUCGACAGCUUGAGAAGGUGCGACGGAGAAAGAAAAGAGGAAAGUCUGGAAGGAAGACGACAGAGGCAAGGAUGAGUAGGAGAGAAAUACAGCAAAUUACUGUGUUUUUUAGAUAUGGUAGGACCAACACCCUGUAUUGUAUUGUAGUUUACCCUACUAAAUUUUUCCAUGUUACUUUGCUGAUAUUAUUAAAUGGAAAGACCAACAGAAUAUUUAUAUUUAGACUUUAGAUGCUGAAGAAAACUCUCAAUUUUAAUUGUUGGUUUCAAUAUAUAAAUAGAAAAUGUGCACAAUUAUUGAUAUUAUUUAUCAACAUAUCUAUUUAUUUUUAUAUAAUUAUCUGAUAAGUAUUUGCGGAAGUCCCUCCAUAAUGAUAAAAGUUCCACAUGUUGUCUAUUUAUCUAUAAGUCUGAUCUAGUCAGCUCACAGGACAAAAUCCAUGAAAGUUUAAUAUCAAGCUUCCAACAAUACUGGAAAAUAAUAAGGGAAAAAUAAGCAUAAUCUCAUAUAUCUUACAGCAUAAGUAGACAUUACUCUUGCAUUAACAAAUGGUGAGUUAAGGAGCUGUUAAUAAUGAAAUGGCAUAUUAUUUAUUGUCCUUGCCAUCACCUUUAAAAACCCAUUAAAUUUCAAAACAUAACAAACUUAAUAUUUGUAUUGUAUUCGUCUAGUGAUGAGUACAAAAACUGAAAGGCAGUACUUUAGCCUUUUAAGGAUUUAUUGAUAGUCUAUAUGUCUACCAUCAACUGGAUUACAUUAUUGCUGACAAAGACGAGGAUAAAGGUAAGCAGAGAGAGAGAGAAGUAUACUGUACUCUGUAUAUCCCCUCUUUGUAAGUCAAAGUUUGCACUUCAUCUGGACUGCUGUAGUGCCCCUGUGUGUAUGCAGUGGUUGAAAAUAAGUACAGAGACACAAUAGUGGAAGAGAGAGUGAGAAUGUUAUAUACAGUAUAACAGUUGAUGCCACACUGCCUACCAAGAUUGCACUUAGACAAGAUAGUUGAAGUAAAGUCAAGUACUUAAAGACCUUAUAAGAGAAAAGAAGACAAAAGUAAGAGUGAUUGAGAGAAAGAAGGAGAAUGAGAAAAAGGCAAUGCAGACAAGCUGCAGUACGUGAAAAUACCGUUAGUGAUGUGAAAGCUUCAGAUGAAGUGGAGCGAAGUGAGCCCCAAAGCCAGGGCUAAGUGAGCAGAUUAGAGGGACCGCACAGUGGUAUCACUCUUCCACUGCAUUUGCUGUCCUACUGGCAAAGGUCAAGCACGUACUACAGCCACACAGUCUGCAGUAUGUACACACAGUCACUACAGAUAAAAAAGUGUUAAUGAAAUAACAUCAUCAAUUUGAGCCAAUAAAAAGGCUCUUGCUUGAAACACACAUGGCAAUGUGGCAUAUUGUAAAGUUUGUAGUUUUAUGCCACAAUAUGACAAUGACCCCUUUAAACAUUCUCAGCUCACAUAGCUGCUUCUGCAAAACCAGGUAUAAAAUCUAUGCUGUUAUCAGCUCCAGUGCGUUUGCAUUUUACAAACCAGAGUAAAAGUGUAGUCAUAAUGCCAUUCUUAUUAUCUCAAUUUCUGAUACAUGACAUUAUGAGGAAACAGAUUAUUAUGAGAAACCAAUUAAAAUGGCAUAAGAAUCGAAAGGUUUCAAUGCAAAAUGUGUGUUGGCCCGUUUCUGACAAAAUACUUGUAACUUGCCCAAGUUAAGACCUGAUGAAAGACAUUGCCAUUUCUUUUAAAUGUGUAUAGUACUGUGUAGUUGAAAAUUAUUUUUGCUACAUAACAUAAUGUCAUAUAUUAUUUUCUUCAUUCAGUACAUCCACGGUGUUAACAGAACAAUUUUUGUUUCAUCACUACAUGAUUGAAAAGUGCUAAAGAACCCAGCUGACCCCCAGCUACACAACCCUGGCUCAAGUUCCUUUUUCUUCAGUUUUAUAGCUUCUAUGCCUUGUUCUGGAGACAGUAUGAUCGGGUGCAAGAGGUUCCGUUACUUUUGUAAUGUGUGAACUUUAUAAU